GAAGGAAAAGAAGAAGAAGAAGAAGAAGAAGAGGUACUAGUCAGACAGUUUAUUAGUUUCGUUUCUGAGGCUGUGUUUAUCUGCUUUCUCUGGCGGUUUUUAGGUUUACAACACCGACACAUUAGGUGGAGACACAUUCAUUUGAUGAUGGAUGCUAUUUACUUAAAACGCAACAACAUGACAGCUUUGCAGACCAACAAUCACAAAAGACAAACAAACACAAACAGACGAAAAUAUAACUAGCAGACGGAUCUGAACGGAUGCUAGUGUUGUUGCGGGUGUGUUAUAAACAGUAGAGAGGGUUAUUUAGUGUCACUGCACACGUGUAUUAAUGUUUUAUUAUCAUGCAGCAUGAAAUACUCGACACAUUUGAUGCUCUUUAUUUGACUGUAAGACUGUUUUAUGUGACCACCGCUCAUGUUUGCAUGACGUCAUAAAACCGGGCGGCAUCGCUGUACACAAGGAGGGGUGUACAUAGUGCCCUUGUGUCACUUUUAAAAAGUGUGACAACUUUACCGCAAAGUUUCAGUGUGUUCCAGACAAGAAUGAUUCAUGUGUUCCCUUGUGUGGCUGAGGAGAGGUGUGCUGUUAUUUAAAUUGACCAGACUUAUGUUUUUCGAGGAGGAAUCAGGUGAAAAGUCCCUCCGAGACAUAUCUACAGAGCAUAAUAUGACAUAGACUUUAUCAUAUCAGUCAUGUGGGCUCUUCUGACCAGUAAACAACACAAACAGUUACACAGACCACACUAGCAGCAGUAGUGAAGCUACAGGUUUUCAGCUGUGGCCCACCCAGUAAGUUAUUUAUCAAAAGAUAAUAAAUAUAAAUGUAUGGUUUCACUGUAACGUCAUAUAAUUCUGUACUUUAAAAUAUAUUUAACGUGAGAUUUCAUGGUCAAUUCAUGGCCAGUUAUUAAUUUUCCCUCUUCUGAGCCAAACGUGUUAAAAGCAUCAUAUCACCAUAAGUACAGUGUUUGAUUCACUAAAUAGAUUCGUUCUUUGUGGAAGGAAAAAAAUAAACAUGUAUACUGGAUACAUAUAUAUAUAUAUAUAUAUACAUUUAUACAUUCUUCACAAUGAACUGCAUAUUUACAGCUGCAUUCAUUUCUGUGGUCCUCAAUAUCUAAUCUCUGAAUGUAAAACUGAGACACUUGAUUAUGAGAUCAUCUGCGAAGCCUCAUCGUCUAAGUUUUAUGAAGGACCACCCACUUAACAUUUCUUGCAUCACCCCCUGACUAACAGAUGAUGUUAAACAGCUGGAACUGGAGCAGAUAUCUUGAGCUGUCAACAUUUGUCUGAUCUUUACAAUGAUCACUGGAAACUUAAGAUGCAGAAAAUCCCGACUGUCGCUACAAUCAACAGAGAUCCAGCAGGAGCAGAAACAGAAAUCAACACUAACAGAGAUACAAAGUCUGGAGCAUGUGAAGGAGAGUGAAAGAGAGACAUUAAUGAGAGAGUCACAUGACCCACAUUCACCACUGAACACACCAGUGAACAAUUCUGCUGUGAUGAAGAUGAUGAUGAAGAACAGUUUGAAGAGUUACUGCUGAUGUCAGGAACAGGCAGAUGAGCUGAAAACAUGAGAGGAUAAGAGGAAUAUUUUCAGCGUUGUGAAUCUGUGUAAUACAUUUUGUGUUGAGUGAGUGUUUAGUGUGUUAAUGGUUGCUGAAUGUGACUCAUCUCAAAAUAAAAAAUUUGACUAUGUAAAUAGAAUAUGUGAGCAUUUCAACAAAUGAUAUCUACUCACCAUAGACAGAAACGUUGAAUGUUUUAAAUGUCUGAUUCGCUCCAUGUAUCUCUAGUUGAUAAUCUCCAGCGUGUUGAGUUGUGGUGUUCAUGAUGGUCAGAGAUCCAGUUUUAUUGUCCAGCUUCAGUCUGUCUCUGAAUCUCCCAUCAGUAUCAUUAUGUGUGAAGACAGUUUGUUUCUUUAUAUUUAUUCUAGCUAUGAGAGACUUUCCAGUUCCAUAUUUCCAGAAUAUGUAAUAGCCCUUAUGUAUUUCGGAAAGAUCAGUGUAUAAAGUAACAGAAUCUCCCUCCAUCACUGACACUGAGUCACCAAACACACCUGGAGAAUAUAAAAAUAUUUUACACAGAUUAAAGCCUCUGAUGAUUUACAAAGCCUGAAAUCCUCUUCAGUCACAUGUGAAGUUGAGAACAGCAGAAACAAGAAAAGUGAAAUGUAAAAUAUCAGCAGUCUUUCAAAACAGCUAUUGUAAACUACAGAUUUCCACAAAUCUGUACAUAAUGUUUUAGAACCAUAUGUACUGUAUAUCAUUAUUUGUUUUUCUCUCUUAGUCUUACUUAUUUAAAUGUUCUUUCUGUUCUCAUGUUAUACAUGUAUUUAUGAGUAUAUAUGUACCUAGAGCUCCUGAAAAACCACAGUCCUUAAUGUAACAUCGUAACUCUUCAAAGUGUAGAGUAUGAUAAUUAUUGCAGAUUGAAGGUACUGGUUAAUUGUUCUGGAUAUUUUAAAUAUUUAUUUUUAAUAAAUGGGAGAUUUAGAUCAUAAGAUCACAUUUGUAUGACAUUAGUAGAUGUUCAGGACUGCAGGGAUUUCCUUUAUUUUGUUUUUAUGAACUUUUCCAGGUGCUGUAAAUGCCAAUGAAAACUUCCUAA